AGGACGAACGCUGGCGGCGUGCUUAACACAUGCAAGUCGAGCGGAAAGGCCCUUCGGGGUACUCGAGCGGCGAACGGGUGAGUAACACGUGAGUAAUCUGCCCCUAGCUCUGGGAUAGCUCCGGGAAAACCGGGAUUAAUACCAGAUACGACCACUUUAGACAUCUGCUGUGGUGGAAAGAAUUUCGGCUAGGGAUGAGCUCGCGGCCUAUCAGCUUGUGGUGAGGUAACGCUCACCAAGGCGACGACGGUA
rnacentral:rRNA from 1 species